rnacentral:rRNA from 1 species
UGAGAGCUUGCUCUCAUGAAAGUGGCGCACGGGUGAGUAACACGUGGAUAAUCUGCCUGGCGAUUCGGGAUAACACUUCGAAAGGGGUGCUAAUACCGGAUAAGCCCACGGACUCUUAGGGGUUUGCGGGAAAAGGGGGCCUCUGUAUAUGCUCCUGUCGCUAGAUGAGUCCGCGGCCCAUUAGCUAGUUGGUAGGGUAAUGGCCUACCAAGGCGACGAUGGGUAGCUGGUCUGARAGGAUGAUCASCCMCAYUGGAACUGARACACGGUCCAGACUCCUACGGGAGGCAGCAGUGGGGAAUCUUGCGCAAUGGGCGAAAGCCUGACGCAGCGACGCCGCGUGAGUGAUGAAGGCUUUCGGGUCGUAAAGCUCUGUCGAGGGGAAAGAAAUGUACRAGGGCUAAUAUCCUUUGUACUUGACGGUACCCCUAAAGGAAGCACCGGCUAACUCCGKGCCAGCASCCGCGGUAAU